UAGGGAAUCUUCCGCAAUGGGCGAAAGCCUGACGGAGCAACGCCGCGUGAGUGAUGAAGGUCUUCGGAUCGUAAAACUCUGUUAUUAGGGAAGAACAAAUGUGUAAGUAACUAUGCACGUCUUGACGGUACCUAAUCAGAAAGCCACGGCUAACUACGUGCCAGCAGCCGCGGUAAUACGUAGGUGGCAAGCGUUAUCCGGAAUUAUUGGGCGUAAAGCGCGCGUAGGCGGUUUUUUAAGUCUGAUGUGAAAGCCCACGGCUCAACCGUGGAGGGUCAUUGGAAACUGGAAAACUUGAGUGCAGAAGAGGAAAGGGGAAUUCCAUGUGUAGCAGUGAAAUGCGCAGAGAUAUGGAGGAACACCAGUGGCGAAGGCGACUUUCUGGUCUGUAACUGACGCUGAUGUGCGAAAGCGUGGGGAUCAAACAGG
rnacentral:rRNA from 1 species